GGGGAGGAGGAGGGGCUGCGGAGGCGGCGGGGCAGCGGCGACUCGCGGCGGCGGCGGCGGCGGCGCUGGAAGUUCCCGAGUUCCAGCGGCGCAAGAAUGGGAAGCAAGCGAAGCCAAAAUGCCCCCGGGGAGCGCGGCCCCGCUGGGGAGGCCCGGCGUUUCCACACGCCCGCCUCGCGGCUCCCCCGUAGCCCAGCCCGCUCCCUCGGAGCCAGCCAGGGACCUCGGGGCGCUGCCAGGGGCUUUGGCAUCUGCGCGAGCGAUGGAUAAGAGGAGUGUUGUCAACGGCAGGACGAGCGAUAGAUGCUGAUGCCUGGAACCUAUGGCUGAACUGGAGAUUUGUUACAAUAACCACUCUGUUUCAGCUUCAUUUUAAAUCCACGCUUCAAAUAAUUGAAAAGGAAAUGAAAUAAUAUUUAAUGUCUAAUAAAGAUUUUAAAAAUAAAGUGACUUGAAUCUUU
rnacentral:lncRNA from 1 species